UUCUUCUUAAAUUUAGUAAGAAAAUGUUUAACAGGAUUUUUUAGGGGAAAUAGGCCCUUUUCACGUGACGGCACGCAACUUGCGUUCUAACUCAAAGCAGGGUAUGUUUACUUCCGCCAGCAUAGUGGAACGCUACCAAAGAGUAUUGUACGCUAUGGAGUUUACCCAAACCUUCAACUUUUCCACUUACAACACGUUCCAAACUUUACAAAGGAUACAAAUUCUUCAUUGAGUAGUAACGUUACCUGUUUGCGUAAGAAGACCUGUUAAAAAAAACGCUGAACGAAGGACAGUCUACUGUCAAGAAGAGAAGGCGACUUUCACAGCUCAAAAUAAAACGAGAAUCAACAUCGGCUGAGAUAGUGAGAACUGUGGGAUUUGAAAAUGUUUUAAAGGCGAUGCAGAAAUGGCGUUUUUAUUACUCAAGAGGAAGUGCAGCUUCUCCACAAUGCUGGUCCGAUGAAAGCAGAAGAGCGCUAUCGAUCGGGUUCUGGGGGAGGAUGACCUGCGGUGGAAGUGAGGCUGAGCUGCUGAAGAGUGAAAGGAGAACUGGAAGGGUUCUUAGGACCUCUGAGGGCAGAUGAGGAGUAUGGUUAUCAUGGCAGGGAUGUAUUCAAGCUAUGCAGGUGAACAUUUGGCUAUCACUGACCGAAUGAAAGUCAUGACAUUAUCUAGUCCUGCCUCCAUUAUUUUGCAACAAGGCCUGAUGACAUAAAGUUCAAGAUUAUAUCAGAUUAAAAACUCAAACUUGGCAUGUCCAGCAACUGUCACCAACAAAAACAAAAUGUCAACCAGAGAAAAACAAGUUGACACACAAGACUGAAAUAAUGCUGUAAACAAUAAAUAACAUGCAAAACUACACUCCACUGUAUAGGCUAAACUGACAACAAAAAUAAACAA